GAUGAAGAACGCAGCGAAAUGCGAUAAGUAAUGUGAAUUGCAGAAUUCAGUGAAUCAUCGAAUCUUUGAACGCACAUUGCGCCCGCCAGCACUCUGGCGGGCAUGCCUGUUCGAGCGUCAUUUCAACCAUCAAGCCCCCAGGGGCUUGUGCUGGGGCCCUGCGGCUGCCCGCAGGCCCUGAAAACCAGUGGCGGGCUCGCUAGUCACACCGAGCGCAGUAGCACAUCUCGCUCAGGGCGUGCGGCGGGCUCCUGCCGUGAAACCCCCCACUGUAACCCCAAAGGUUGACCUCGGAUCAGGUAGGGAUACCCGCUGAACUUAAGCAUAUCAAUAAGCGGAGGA
rnacentral:misc_RNA from 1 species